rnacentral:rRNA from 1 species
AAACAUCUCUGGAAGAAAAAAAUUUUUGGUCUUACCUGCUCAAUGCUUUAGUAAAUAGCUGCAGUAUUUUAACUGUACAAAGGUAGCAUAAUCAUUAGUCUUUUAAAUGGAGGCUGGUAUGAAAGGUUUAACGUAAAAUUAACUUUUUUUUUAUUAAAAAAUUGAAUUUCGAGUUUAAGUAAAAAAACUUAAAUUAAUAAGCGGGACGAGAAGACCCUAUAGAAUUUAAAAUAGUGAUUAGUUUAUUUUUAAUUGGGGUGAUUAUAUUUUAACAUUAUUUUAAUAUUCAUUUUUAAAUGAUUGGAAGAUCCUUUUUUAAGAUUUAAGAUGAAAUUACCUUAGGGAUAACAGCAUAAUUAUUUUUAAAAGAUCAUAUUAAUAAAAUAGAUUAUGACCUCGAUGUUGAAUUAAAAUAAAAUUUAGGUGCAAAAGUUUAAAU